AGGAGUGAGUCAGUGCAGCUGCACCUGCCCCAACCUGUGGACCCACAGUUCGGUACAUGGCCCAUCACUGGGCUGAGAGACUCAACCAAUUUCUUGAUUUAUUUAUUUUUGAGAGAGAGAGAGAAGGAGCAUGAAAUGGUGGGGUGUGGAGAGAGAGAAGGAGAGAGAAUCUCAAGCCAACUCCUUGCUGAGCAAGGAGCCACAUGCGGCCCUCAAUCUCAAGACCCUGAGAUCAUGACCUGAGCCGAAAUCAAGAGUAGGUCGCUUAACCAACUGAGCCACUGAGGCACCCCAAACCUUCUACUUCUAAAAAAAAUUGCCCAUUUUUUUUGGAGAAUGAAAUAACCACCUGUCAUAUCCCGCUGUUUGAAGAUCUGAGAUGUUUGCACUUCAGUCCCAAUCAUCCUGACAUUGUCACUAAUAUAACAAGAUCUAAAUAUUUUCUCACCUGGGGAGCCCAGAAGUUUACUUGUGGGUCAACAUUACUGGGAGGUGGAUGUGGGGAACUGUUGGAACUGGGCCCUUGGAUUUUGUGAUGAUACUUGGGCGAUGAGGAAUGACAUGGUGCUUGACUCGGAGGGAAUUUUUCUACUUUUUUGUAUCAAAGAGGACAAUCAGUGCAGUCUCUUUACCUCCUCCCCACUGUCGCCUCAGUAUGCGGGAAGGCCUCUGGGCCACGUGGGGGUGUUCCUGGAUUAUGAGCGUGAUGUAGUGAGCUUUGUGCAUGUGGCCAAUAGCUCCCUCAUUUGCAGUUUCCUCUCCUCUUCCUUCUCUUGCCCUCUCUGACCUUUGCUCUGCUCUGCACCCUCAUAAUGAGGGAUAUGUCUGAACCUGACCACAAGUGUCAGGAAGGCCUUACCCAAGGUAUCUCGGGUAAAUGCCUGGUUGAUUUUCUUUCCCUUUCUCCUUUAUCAUAUUGACUACUUUUAAAGGGUUGAUAAUUGUGUCUAUAUUUGUUUCCAUUUUCUCUAAAUAAAAACAAUCUCUCUUAGAAAAC